GGCAGUGCUGGAGCUAAUGAGCAUUGUAGGGCAUUGCUGGCUGUUCAGCUCCUGCCGAUUAGAAAAAUGAGAGUGGAACAUGAGUCAAGGGAAAACACAGAGAGAGAGCGUCAGACGGUCAUGGAGAGGGCCAAACAACCGGGAGUGCUGGUCUUGUGUUCGUCCCAAACUUGGGAAGAGGACAUUUCAUCCAGAGGCUCUACCCAGAGCUCCAACAAUAACACCUCCUAGCUGAAAGGAAAUUCCUCAGCCUCCUCUGCUCUCUGCUGGAACAUGCAGCUCCUUUUCUCCUGUGUGGAUAAUGAGGUCAUUUCGCAUUAUGAUAUUUUUCUUUUCUUUUCAGUCAUUUCAGUAAGGUAUAAUUUAGCUCUUGCCUGUGUGGUAGGAAGAACAAAAGGUGGUCAAUGAGUUUAGAUUUUCAUCUAAAAGUCUACAUAUAAAACAAUAAAUAAAACAAACUAAAUAAUGAAGGUCCUUCAUGUCGGUGGAAGUGCACAGAAAGGACAUGAUAAGCUGUGGAACAGAGUGGGUUGUACUGGUGAACUAAGCCCUGCCAAAACCAACUCUGUGCCAUGCUCCGAGACAAUCUGGUUGUAGCAGCAACCAUGCUGACCUUGAGUAGAAGUGACAGUGUGUCUGAGAGGCAUGUUACAAGUCAGAGAAAAUUGGAAGUAAACAGAUAAAAAGAAUGCAAUCUCUGCUGGAAGUAGCAAGGCACAGGGGGCAGGAAAUAAACCUGUAUUUAAGCUGAUUACCCGAGCAGAGUCCCAGCCCCUUUCAGCAGCUCCGAACCGGCCUCAGCGUUGCCAGUGUUGUUAAUUAGAGGUUUGCUAAGGGGAAAAAAGGCAGCCUUGUCAGACUUGCAGCAGUGUUAGUGAUGGCUGGCUGGAGGGGGACAUGCAGAGCUCUUAAUUGGGUCUGUAUGCUGUAUCGGUGGCUGGCUGGAGCGCUGGUGAUGAUUGCUGUGAGCAGGUGGCCGUGGUGGCAGCUCUGCACAGGCCAUCCCGGGCCAGCCUGUCUGUUCUUGUCAGAACCUGGAACACUGAGCAGACGGCCCCUCCACAACACCUCCCUGGCAACACAAUGUAACCCGCAGUCAUGGAGCACUACUUCCUGACAGUCCAGCCCAGGGAAAGAGGAGGAACACUUUAAACCCAAAUGCAUUAAAUCCCAAUCAUCUUUGCAUGUCAAAAACACAAACCAUAAACAAAAUACAUAAAUCAGAAAUGGAUCUCCAGACUGUGCAAUCUGCAGAAGCACUCUAAUGUAUGAACACUUUUUGUUUUACAUGAACAUUUUAAUUAUAAGACUUGAUACAAAUUAAAGUGAAUCA